rnacentral:rRNA from 1 species
AACGAACGCUGGCGGCAUGCCUAACACAUGCAAGUCGAACGAGACCUUCGGGUCUAGUGGCGCACGGGUGCGUAACGCGUUGGAACCUGCCCUUAGGUUCGGAAUAACUCCCCGAAAGGGGUGCUAAUACCGGAUAAUGUCUUCGGACCAAAGAUUUAUCGCCUUUGGAUGGGCCCGCGUUGGAUUAGAUAGUUGGUAGGGUAAAAGCCUACCAAGGCGACGAUCCAUAGCUGGUCUGAGAGGAUGAUCAGCCACACUGGGACUGAGACACGGACCAGACUACUACGGGAGGAAGCAGUGGGGAAUAUUGGAAAAUGGGCGAAAGCCUGAUCCAGCAAUGCCGCGUGAGUGAUGAAGGCCUUAGGGUUGUAAAGCUCUUUUACCCGGGAUGAUAAUGACAGUACCGGGAGAAUAAGCUCCGGCUAACUCCGUG